rnacentral:rRNA from 1 species
GACGAACGCUGGCGGCGUGCCUAAUACAUGCAAGUUGAGCGCUGAAGGUUGGUACUUGUACCAACUGGAUGAGCAGCGAACGGGUGAGUAACGCGUGGGGAAUCUGCCUUUGAGCGGGGGACAACAUUUGGAAACGAAUGCUAAUACCGCAUAAAAACUUUAAACACAAGUUUUAAGUUUGAAAGAUGCAAUUGCAUCACUCAAAGAUGAUCCCGCGUUGUAUUAGCUAGUUGGUGAGGUAAAGGCUCACCAAGGCUAUGAUACAUAGCCGACCUGAGAGGGUGAUCGGCCACAUUGGGACUGAGACACGGCCCAAACUCCUACGGGAGGCAGCAGUAGGGAAUCUUCGGCAAUGGACGAAAGUCUGACCGGGCAACGCCGCGUGAGUGAAGAAGGUUUUCGGAUCGUAAAACUCUGUUGGUAGAGAAGAACGUUGGUGAGAGUGGAAAGCUCAUCAAGUGACGGUAACUACCCAGAAAGGGACGGCUAACUACGUG